rnacentral:lncRNA from 1 species
UCUAAAGGCACUGAGCGGAAAGCCAGGUGAAGUCUGCGCUUCUUUGUUGCAGUCUAAUGUGCACAUGGAUUGGUUGCAGUCAUCCAGUGAAAGGUGUGAUUAAAUUGAGCUGUUGCAUGCAGUCUUUGGUGCUGAUGUUGUCCUGAAGUGUGGGAGAGUUCCAUGCUUCAAGUCUUCUGGGAUCAGCCAUAUCUGAGUUGACGCUGGAUCAUGCUGCAUUGAGGUUGCCGAAAUGUGGGACAUCUAGUAGAACUGCAAGAAGACUCCUUGUAAUGGUUUAUGUUUACGCAGCAGUGAUGUUGCUGUCCAAUAUGGCAUGUUGUUGCAGCCUAUAG